GGAGUCUGGUCCGUGUCUCAGUACCAGUGUGGGGGACCUUCCUCUCAGAACCCCUAAGGAUCGAUGGCACGGUGGGCCGUUACCCCGCCGUCUACCUAAUGGCACGCGAGCCGAUCCGUAUGCAAUAAAUCUUUCAACAAAUCCUCAUGCGGGAAUUUGUGUUACGGGGUAUUACGCGACGUUUCCAUCGACUAUCCCCCACAUACGGGCACGUUGCUCACGCGUUACUCACCCUUUCGCCGGUCGCCGCCAGGUAUUGCUACCCGCGCUGCCCCUCGACUUGCAUGUGUUAAGCCUGCCGCUAGCGUUCAUC
rnacentral:rRNA from 1 species